AUUCUACCAUCAUACCAACAACGUGUUAUUUAAUCAAUAGUAGCAAACAACUCUUAGCAACUUUGACAAAUCAAGUCAUAAUCAAAGUUCCUGACAUAAUUAGCGUAAAUAAUGGCCAAGAAGGGUCAAGCAAUCCAGUUACAAACUGAGGUAAAUAACGACGAAGACUGGGAAAAACUCUUACAACGUGACGGACUUAUUGUUGUUGACGUCUAUUCUGAAUGGUGCGGCCCUUGCUCCGGAAUGACCGCAACUUUAAAAAAACUAAAACUCGAGAUUGGAGGCGACGUGCUUCAACUAGCUAUAGCAAAAGCCGACAAAAUAACGGCUCUAGAACGUUUCCGCAACAAGAGCGAACCCACUUGGAUGUUCAUUAUCAACGGAAAAAUGGUUAAUUUCAUGUUCGGAGCCAACGCUCCUAAAUUGACUCGUUUAAUAACUGAAGAACUCCGCAAAGAAAACGAAGCACGACAGGGACGUCGUGACAGAGUCCAAAAUGAAAUAAGCGACAUCACUGAGGAAGAACGGGAGCGGCUGGAUGUUGUAGAACGGCAGAGAAGAGCGGCGAAAGAGAAGGAGGAGGCGAAAGCCGCCAAAGAACUGUUUGAGAGACGCACGGCCGAGUGUCACAAGAUUUUGGAAACUUUACAGCACAUGGGCAUCAUAUUGAUUUUUCCGCACGCGAAAACUAGCUACCAGGAGGCGUUCGGAGACCUCCUGGGCGAGGCUGGUUUGACUAUAAGCCAAACAGAGAAACUCGUACAUGUUAGCGAAAUCGCCUUGGAAGAGAUGCUAUUUUUCGCCGAGGAAGAAGUGGAACAAUUCCAAAAUGAAGAACUGUUCAAGAAACCAUCCAUGGCGCUUUUGAUGAAACGCAGUUCUGAGAAUUUGCCAAACACCAUUGACGACGUUGUGGCACAAAUGGUUUAUGGCAACCAUCGCAAACCACCGGGUGACGAAAAUUGUCCUUAUCGAAAACUGAUAACAACGAAAGAUAAUGUCGAAUUGCCUGGAAUUUGGGCUCCUACUAACUCGUUGUGUAAGGCAAUGGGUCUGAAAUGGUUGUUUCCGAAUAUUUCGGGACCUUACAAACUUCCUGAGGUGGAACCGACGCCACCCCACGUAAUCAUAGCCUACGAUGCUUUCAAAUACAAGGAAGUUAUGGAACUGGGGAACCAGUUUCCCUCCGCGAUUAUGAAAUACGGUUUUUUCUCAAACCAUACACCAGGCAGUGCCCAGUUGAUUACCAAAACUGUGGACAAGUUUGAAAAACAAACAACGCCUCCGACUUAUGAGGAGAAAAUCGUUGUACAACUUGCCAAAUCCGACGACUGCUUUGAAAGUUUUUACGAUUUGGGACCGUCGUAUAUCAGUUUAGACACGGUUCAAGGGGCAGAAGAAGCACAGCUUUUUUUCCCGCCGACUUACGAUAUUCCGGAAGAUAUUAUCAUGGAAAUCAAGAAAAAACCGAAAAAGAAGACAAAGAGCAAAUUUGUUGCAGUUGUGGAAGCACACGAGGAGAAACUUCUACAAGGGGAUAUUAAAGAAGAAAAUGACUUAGAGGAACAAGCGUCGGAGGAUAACGCUGAUGGACGACAACUUACCGAAGAAAAGGCCACGGAAAUGGAGGAGGAGGAGGAAGAGGAAGGUGACGAAGGUGGAGAGGAUAUUGUCGAUAAGGCGACGUCCCCCAUGGACGACGCCAAGGAGGAAGACGUUAAUGAAUAAUAAAUAGUUUGCUUACAAGUGAACGUAGAAAGUACUUAUUAAUUUAUAAUCUUGCUUGAAAACGAUGUAAACUUACUCCCAUUAAAAGUGCAUUUACUGAACAAAAUCGUCAUCCCCAAUUAAAUUCCUAUUACGCUGAACUCUUGCAUUCGUGUCACAAUCGAGACGACGAUGGAUUAUCGGAACCCAAGUCCGAUGAAAAAUGACGUAUUAAGAAUUGUCCGUUUCUUGGGACAGAACGUAUUUUACGUGAAUAUCGUUAAAAGCGUUUUAAAGAUCUCUGUAUGUUACUCUAUGAUAAUCUGGGCGUACAUAAUUUACCACCUCUUUUUUGUUUUUGAUGUAAAUCAGACUUUGAAUUUCGUUCCCACACUUUUGCAAAUGCUUUACUUUACGCUUACACAAUUGACACUUAUUUUCAAACAUGGUCUAGCGGACCAAAUAUUGAGCGUUCUGCCAUUGUGGGAAAUCGACUCCGCGGGGCAAGAAACAGCGUUGAAGAUAAGAAAAGAAGCAAAAAUAUAUACUUUUUGUACUUUAGUAACCACAGCGACUGCCGUUGUGGCCGUGUUACUUUUGACUUCUCCUCAGGACAACGCCGAUCAAGUUAUCAUCAUUUUUUGCAAAUUUCGGGAAUUGUUUCCGUACCAAAAUUGGGUUUUUGCACGUUUAUCAAAGCUUAUAUAUCUUCUGCUCAUAUUGGCAGCUCCAGCGCACACAUAUCAAACGAUUUAUGUCACACAACACUUGAAAUUUCAGCUAUAUCUUUUGAAUGAAUAUCUCAAAGGACUGGGGAGUUAUAAAAAAAUGGAUAGAAAUGCGUUGUUUUAUGACACAGAGUAUCAGAAGCUAGUCAGAUUUAGACUAACAGUGUGCAUAAAAAGGCAUCUAGAAAUUAUUAAUGCAAGAAACAACGCUGUUGGAUUGAUGGACAAUUACAUUGUGCCGUUUAUAAUAACAGGCGCCCUUUUGGUGGCCGGGUUGCUUUUAUCAGCAUUUCACCUUGUAGGAGAGGUCCACCUUCCCUGGUGGCAUUGUGCAGCUUUAGGUAUUCCAGUUUUCUUAUGCGCUUGCUAUUUUUUCGUUAGCGGACAGGCUCUUGAAUCCGAGUCCGAACGUGUUAUGACGACAUUGAUGGAACUAGACUGGUACGACUGGUAUAGCCAUAAUAAAAAAAUGUUUUUGUUUUUUUUUAAAUAACACUUUAAAACCACUACAAAUUUCGUUUGUAAAUGUCGCCCUCAAUUAUGUGACAGGAGUUAAAGUUCUGAAAUUGGUUUACACUGCAGUUUCAAUUUUCGGCAGUUUCAAAUAAAUGUUUCGCAGGAUAAGAAAAGUGCACUAAACACUUUACGUGCACUCGUAUAAUGUCUUGUAUUCUACGUGUCGUUAAUAAAUAUUUACCAAGCACACAUUUUUGUGGAAU